GACGAACGCUGGCGGCGUGCUUAACACAUGCAAGUCGAACGGUGAAGCGCCUUCCUUUUUGGUGGGUGUGGAUGAGUGGCGAACGGGUGAGUAACACGUGAGUAACCUGCCCCCUUCUUCUGGAUAACCGCAUGAAAGUGUGGCUAAUACGGGAUAUUCUGGGUCUGUCGCAUGAUGGGUCUGGGAAAGAUAUUGUUUCGGUGGGGGAUGGGCUCGCGGCCUAUCAGCUUGUUGGUGGGGUGAUGGCCUACCAAGGCGGUGACGGGUAGCCGGCCUGGGGGGGGGGACGGUUAAACGGGGGAUGGGACACGGCCCAAACUGCUAGGGGGGGGAGCGGUGGGGAAUAUUGAACAAGGGGGCCAAGCCGGAUGAGGGGGCGCCGCGGGGGGGGUGGGGGCCUUCGGGUUGGGAACCUCUUUCGCCAGUGAAGCAGGCCUGCCUCGUUUGGGGGGGGGUGGACGGUAGCGGGAAAAGAAGCGCCGGCUAACUACGU
rnacentral:rRNA from 1 species